rnacentral:tRNA from 1 species
GGGCCCGUAGCUCAGUUGGCAGAGCAGCUGACUCUUAAUCAGCGGGUCGUGGGUUCGAGCCCCACCGGGCCCUCCA